UACGUGGGGGGCAAGCGUUGUUCGGAAUUACUGGGCGUAAAGGGCGCGUAGGCGGUCUGUUAUGUCGGAUGUGAAAGCCCUUGGCUCAACUGAGGAAGUGCAUCCGAAACUGGCAGGCUAGAGUACUAAAGAGGAUCGCGGAAUUCCCGGUGUAGAGGUGAAAUUCGUAGAUAUCGGGAGGAACACCGGUGGCGAAGGCGGCGAUCUGGGUAGAUACUGACGCUGAGGUGCGAAAGCGUGGGGAGCAAACAGG
rnacentral:rRNA from 1 species